AGAGUUUGAUUCUGGCUCAGAACGAACGCUGGCGGCAGGCUUAACACAUGCAAGUCGAACGAGAAGCUUACUUCGGUAAGUGGAAAGUGGCAGACGGGUGAGUAACGCGUGGCAACCUACCUUUUUCUACGGAACAACAGUUGGAAACGACUGCUAAUACCGUAUACGCCCUCCGGGGGAAAGAUUUAUCGGUGAAAGAUGGGGCCGCGUUAGAUUAGCUAGUUGGUGAGGUAAUGGCUCACCAAGGCGACGAUCUAUAGCUGGUCUGAGAGGAUGAUCAGCCACACUGGGACUGAGACACGGCCCAGACAACUACGGUUGGCAGCAGUGGGGAAUAUUGGACAAUGGGGGCAACCCUGAUCCAGCCAUGCCGCGUGAAUGAUGAAGGCCUUAGGGUUGUAAAAUUCUUUCGCUAGGGAUGAUGAUGACAGUACCUAGUAAAGAAGCCCCGGCUAACUCCGUGCCAGCAGCCGCGGUAAUUCA
rnacentral:rRNA from 1 species